UUGGGAAGAAAGAAAUGACGGUACCAACAGAAGAAGCGACGGCUAAAUACGUGCCAGCAGCCGCGGUAAUACGUAUGUCGCAAGCGUUAUCCGGAUUUAUUGGGCGUAAAGCGCGUCUAGGUGGUUUGAUAAGUCUGAUGUGAAAAUGCGGGGCUCAACUCCGUAUUGCGUUGGAAACUGUCAAACUAGAGUAUCGGAGAGGUGGGCGGAACUACAAGUGUAGAGGUGAAAUUCGUAGAUAUUUGUAGGAAUGCCGAUAGAGAUGUCAGCUCACUGGACGAAUACUGACACUGAAGCGCGAAAGCAUGGGGAGCAAACAGGAUUUAGAUACCC
rnacentral:rRNA from 1 species